rnacentral:rRNA from 1 species
AUCGAACGCUGGCGGCAGGCCUAACACAUGCAAGUCGAGCGGAUGAAGGGAGCUUGCUCCUGGAUUCAGCGGCGGACGGGUGAGUAAUGCCUAGGAAUCUGCCUGGUAGUGGGGGAUAACGUCCGGAAACGGGCGCUAAUACCGCAUACGUCCUGAGGGAGAAAGUGGGGGAUCUUCGGACCUCACGCUAUCAGAUGAGCCUAGGUCGGAUUAGCUAGUUGGUGGGGUAAAGGCCUACCAAGGCGACGAUCCGUAACUGGUCUGAGAGGAUGAUCAGUCACACUGGAACUGAGACACGGUCCAGACUCCUACGGGAGGCAGCAGUGGGGAAUAUUGGACAAUGGGCGAAAGCCUGAUCCAGCCAUGCCGCGUGUGUGAAGAAGGUCUUCGGAUUGUAAAGCACUUUAAGUUGGGAGGAAGGGCAGUAAGUUAAUACCUUGCUGUUUUGACGUUACCAACAGAAUAAGCACCGGUUAACUUCGUG